UACGUAGGGGGCAAGCGUUGUCCGGAAUCAUUGGGCGUAAAGAGCGUGUAGGCGGCCCGGUAAGUCCGCUGUGAAAGUCCAGGGCUCAACCCUGGAAUGCCGGUGGAAACUGUCGGGCUAGAGUCCGGAAGAGGCGAGUGGAAUUCCUGGUGUAGCGGUGAAAUGCGCAGAUAUCAGGAGGAACACCGGUGGCGAAGGCGGCUAUCUGGACAGAAACUGACGCUGAGGCGCGAAAGCUAGGGGAGCAAACAGG
rnacentral:rRNA from 1 species